UACAGAGGGUGCAAGCGGUUAAUCGGAAUUACUGGGCGUAAAGCGUGCGUAGACGGUUAUGUAAGUCGGGUGUGAAAGCCCCGGGCUCAACCUGGGAAUUGCAUUCGAGACUGUGUAGCUAGGGUACGGAAGAGGGAAGCGGAAUUUCAGGUGUAGCGGUGAAAUGCGUAGAUAUCUGAAGGAACACCAGUGGCGAAAGCGGCUUCCUGGUCCAGUACCGACGUUCAGGCACGAAAGCGUGGGAGCAAACAGGA
rnacentral:rRNA from 1 species